CGUGGUCCACAGGUUGAGGUAGUAGGUUGUAUAGUUCAGAGUGACAUCGCAGGAGAUAACUGUACAGCCUCCUAGCUUUCCCUGUGGAC
rnacentral:pre_miRNA from 10 species